CCACCCAGGGAAGAAGCUGGUAAGGGAUUGUUUGCAGGGUAAUCUUAUGGCUGAGCAUUGUCAAUUCUUGCUCUUUUGAAAUGGUGAUUAUUAUGCCAACAUCUGACAAAAUUAACCUUUGAUGCUUUCAGGGCAGUGUUAGUGCAAAUUAGGCAUAUGUGACCUUCUGCUGAGACCAAUGGCACUCUUGAGGAUCACCUCCACUGGCCUUGUUGUCAGUCACCCCUACAUCCAUUUCAUUUUUUUUCCUUCUGGAGGGCUCUUUUCUGCUCAAGCUUUUCAGCCUGCUCUUUCCACAAGCAGUAAAAUUUAUUUUCUAUGCAUUGACCCAAAUACAUAGAAAAUCAAAGCUUAAUUCAGGAGGAAAGGAAAGCAUUCUCCUUGAUAUUCUCUGAUAAUUUGGUUGACAUUUUCAGAGGGAAACCAGAGCUUGCUUACAAAACACCAAAUAAAUAUCUCUGGCAUGAAGUAAUGAAACCCAAAAGCCUGAAAUCAACCCCUGGCAUUAUUUUUAAAGAAAAACUAUAAUUUUGAUAAUUCUUUGUUAAUAAUUUCAUUUUAAUUUUUUUUUUACAAAAGCUAGUUUUUUUCAUUGCCAUUCCAAUACCUUAACCUCCUCAUUUCCCCACACUCAUGAAAAUAAGGUUCAGCACCUCCCACAAACUCAGCACAAACAGUACUUUGUACUGCUUGACUCAUGUAAUGUAUGCCCCUUCUACACAAGUGAAUAAAAUUCAGAUUAACUGCUUUGAAGUGGAUUAUAUGGCAGAGUAGACUUGGGGUCCUUCCAGACAGGCUCUGAUCCCAGGCCCUGAUCCCAGGUUUUCUGUUUAUUCCAGAUUAUCUGGCAGUACGGACUCAUACAAUCCAGUUUAAAGCAGAAAACCUGGGAUCAGAUUUGGGAGAUAGAGCCUGUCUGGAAGGGUCCUUAGGCCCCUUCCACACAGGUGUAUAAAAUCCACAUUGAACUGAAUUAUAUGGCAGUGUGGACUCAGACAAUCCAGUUCAAAGCAGAUAAUGUGGAUUAUCUGACUUGAUGAUGGUAAGGUUGGAUUCUUGAUAUGACCAUUCAUAAAUGACUUUCACCCCUCGUAUAUUUGAUCCACUUUCCAUACAUUCUGCAGAAUUAGACUCCUCGCCAUCCUCAGACAUUUUUACUGUAUUUUUAAACUACAAAAAGUUUCCAUUCCAUGUCUAGGAGGUGUCAAGACAGUUUCACCAUUAAAGAUACCCUUUCACAUUUUGGUUCAAGUUACCAAGCCUUGGGUUCCUGUAUCUUUAAUGAUUCUGUAAGAGAUGGAAUUGUUAAUUGCUUGCAUGACAAUCAACACUUGCUGAAAUGCCUUCUUUGGCAGAACCAUUAAUGGUAUGGAAACUCUUUCUGGUCUGACAGCAUUAACCAGAUUGCCUCCUCUUCUCAAAACCCAACUCUGGCUUCCAAUCAAAUAUCAGCUGAGUGUAGCAUUUCAGUGGUUCCCUUCCAACAUGUGCAAUCUUCUCCUUAUCUGAAAUCUGGAAGAAGACUUGUUGCUCCUUUUAUGCUUUCAUCACUCCAACAGAAGCUGGGAAGGAUCUCAGGCCUAAGAACAGAGAUGUAAUUAUUUUGUCUCCUUUAACAUUAAAACGUGUACCAUGCAAGAGAGAAAAUGUGGGCUUUUAAUUGCCACCUGGUGCUCCAGCCUAGCAUUUAAUUAUAAAUCUCUUCCCCAGAAACUGAUUUUAAUUGCAGUGCUUGGUGGAAGAAAAUAUGUAGUGGUGUAUAAGCAAGUAUACACAUUUCUUGUGCAGAUUUGAGUACUUUGCUGCCCAAGAUAAAAAAAGCAUAAUCUACACUCAUACCAACAUCAAGAUUAACAGCACCCUAACCCAGCCAGGACGUUUUAGCAUGUGAAGCAGAAAAAUCCUAGAAGUACUCCCCUCCCUCCAUCCUUGAUAGUAACACUGGAAUAAUAACCAUUUAUAUCACUAAACAUUUUCUACUUUUUGUAACGUCAAAAAUCUGCCUGUGGUAGUGGCCUCCUUCUGCUUCGUGGCAGGGCCAGUCCGGCUACCAUUUUAACCACUUUUAAGAUAUAGUGGAUACUGUAUAAUCUACAUCUGCUAAAUCAAGAUAGUCCCACACUCUGGCUUUUGAGGCCAAUGCCUAAGACCUUGGGGUGACCCCUUUUAAUGUCACUGAGGUGGUCCCUGGUGGCAUUACAAGGCAGCUAUGAUGGUGUCACUAAACAUAAUCCUUUAAGCAUCAAUCACAAAUUCAUAGAACACUGCUUCUUAAAUUGUGGAUCCUAACUCCAAAUGAGGUCCCCAUAUGUUGUCGAAGGCUUUCAUGGCCGGGAUCCUCAGAGGUUGUGAAGUACCUCAAUAUAAAAUAAUGACAUAGAUCUGUAACCCAUGUGUACACACAAAUUGCUUCUUUUUUGCAGGCUUCCAGUGCUUCAGAGUUAUAGCUAUCAGUGGUGGGAGAAAAAUGAAAGCAUCCCCACCAUAAGAGAGCUGGACAGGGGGAGUGUGACCCUGUUGGUUCUCUUGGACAUCUCAGCGGCUUUCGAUACCAUCGAUCAUGGUAUCCUUCUGGGACGACUCUCUGGGAUGGGUCUCGGGGGCACGGUUUUGUCGUGGCUCCGAUCCUUCCUGGAAGGUCGAUCCCAGAUGGUGAAACUGGGAGACGCCUGCUCGGACUCCUGGCCUUUGAGCUGUGGGGUCCCGCAAGGCUAUAUUCUGUCUCCCAUGAUCUUUAACAUCUACAUGAAACUGCUGGGAGAGGUCAUCCGGAGUUUUGGAGUUGGGUGUCACCUCUAUGCAGAUGACGCACAACUCUACUACUCCUUUCCACCUAAUUCCAAAGAGGCCUCUCGGGUGCUGGAUGAGUGCCUGGCCGCUGUGUCUAUCUGGAUGAGGAGGAACAAGCUGAAGAUCAAUCCCGACAAGACAGAGGUCCUCCUGGUCGAUCGUAAACCUGACCGGGGUAUAGGGUGGCAACCUGUGCUGGACGGGGUUACACUCCCCCUGAAGCCACAGGUCCGCAGUCUGGGAGUCCUCUUGGAUUCAUCGCUUACGCUCGAGGCUCAGGCGUCGGCGGUGUCUGGGAGGGCCUUCGCACAAUUGAGACUCGUGCGCCAACUGCGACCAUACCUCGCGAAGGCUGAUCUGGCCGGGGUGGUCCAUGCCUUGGUCACAUCCAGACUGGACUACUGUAAUGCGCUCUACGUGGGGCUGCCCUUGAAAAUGGCUCGGAAGUUCCAACUGGUCCAACGAGUGGCAGACAGGAUGUUAACUGGGGCCCCUUACAGAGAGAGGUCAACCCUCCUGUUCAAGGAGCUCCACUGGCUGCCAUUUACUUUCUGAGCCCAAUUUAAGGUGCAGGUGCUUACCUACAAAGCCCUGAACGGUUUGGGACCAUCCUACCUCCGUGACCGCAUCUCCGUCUAAGAACCCACGUGUUCACUUCGGUCAUCUGGAGAGGCCCUGCUCGUGAUCCCGCCUGCGUCGCAAGCGCGGUUGGUGGGGACAUGAGACAGGGCCUUCUCUGUGGUGGCCCCCCGACUCUUGGGGAACACCCUCCCCAAGGAUCUCAGACAGGCCCCUACAUUGGCAGUCUUCAGAAAGAACUUGAAGACCUGGCUGUUCCAAUGUGCCUUCCCAGAUUAAUAGGAAAUCUCCAACACCAAGUCCCAUAAGCACUUUAUUAGAACUAAGAUCGUAUAUCGCACUCUGCACUUGCCCUAUAAGCCUUAUAUAUCACCUGUCACAUCAGCACUUUUAAUCUUGUACCCAUUACUCUGGCCCGGCCCAGUUUUAUUGUGUUUUAGCGUAUUGUUUAUUGCUUGUUGUUUAUAUUGUUUUAAUUGUUUUUAAUUUGUCUUUUGUUUUGUAUUGUUAUAUUGUGUGUUGAGGCCUUGGCCUUUGUAAGCCGCAUCGAGUCCUUUGGGAGAUGCUAGCGGGGUACAAAUAAAGUUUAAUAAUAAUAAUAAUAAUAAUAAUAAUAAUAAUAAUAAUUCUGCUCCCUCAAUAUUUUUUCUUUCAAUCCUCAGGUAUUUAGCACAGUUGCAAUCAAGAUACUGAAAAUUGUUCACACUUUGCUGUAUUUGAUUUCUUUUGCAGCAUUGUUUGCUCCUUUUAUUUGGAUGCCUUAACUGUAUUUGAAAAUGCUCAACUGAAAUUUUGAGUUAUGAGUUACUGCAGUGCUACAAAUGUGGAGGCUGAAGGCAAAAUUCAUGGAAAGGGGGAGAAUUAUUACUGGAGCUUAAAGCCAGCAUUUUGCCCCUACAUAGCUAUCUUUUUGCCUCCUGCUGUUCUUUGUCAUAACAGUUUCCUGUUGAAAUUCUGUGAGAAAUCAUGAAAUGCGCUAGAAUCAGUAUCAAUAUCAAGUAUAUUUCUGUUAGCUUAAUACCAAUAGUUAAUAUCCAGAUCAUAUUAAUUAGCCAAUUUAAAGGUCUUUUAGGUUGAUUGUAAGUAUAUCUUAAUUUAAUAAGUAUGCAUGCAGGGAAUUUUAUUUUGAAAAAUCGAUGAAGAUUGUGAACAGGUUCAGUAAUGCUGAAUCAAAAUUGAUUAUUAUUUAAUUUCAGGUAGUGGUAAUCUAGUUUAGGUAUUAGUUAAUUUUUGUAUAUGCUUAAUGUUAAAAGAUUUUAAAAGGUAAAACAAAAUAGAAGUUGUUAAUCACUCUGAAAAGUGGUGCCCGGCAUUUGAUAUGCCAGGAAGAAAUGGUUUUUCUUAAAGUAUGAUUUGUUGAUUUUUUAUAUAGUGUAUUUCUGGUACAUGUUGUCACUCAUUACCGUUUUUAUCCAAUAUAUCAAAGCAAGAUGCAGGGGUCUUGACCAAUCUCUCUUCUAGGUGCUGAUUAGAUCUUUGAGUGCAUCUGCACCAUAGAAUUAACGCAGUUUGAUCCAUGGCUCAAUGCUAUGGCAUCAUGGGAAUUGGAGUUGCAACAUUAGGUGCAAUUAAUUGUAUUGGUGGGUGGGGGGAGGGGAAGGGCUUUGAAAUGAGUUAUGUAAUGAAUUACUCUAACACAUUCUAAGACUUUUUAGAACCAGAAAUGCCAUAUACAAAUAGAAGAAUGUCCAAAUACCUGAAUGGAAAAAUAUGUGUUUUUGUAGGAGAGCCCUGUUGAAUUUUUCUAGUUUCCACAUCCCACUGCUGACCUAUGCGCUGCAUUCUACAAACACUGAAACACUACUAACUGGGAGCUUCCAUGGUAGUGAGCUAGUAAAACCAUUUGUAAGUUUAUUUAAACUUCAAAAAGGUCUGUCAACAGUGCUAAAACCUAUCCCAAGUAAGUUGGAAACUUGGACAAUUUCUUUAAAAUUCAGACUAAAACCCAGAGGUGAAUCACCAUCCCACUUAACUAGAAACCACGAGCUGCCAAUUUGAAGAAAUAAGCUGGCCAUUGUAUUAGUAGAGGAGCUGCCCUUGUGAGGAGCAAUCCGAGUAAGGUUUCUAUUGUGCCUAUUUGAUUCCAGAGAGUCUAUCAUCUUGGAUUAAACAUUUCCCUAAAGACUUCAUCAGACGGAGCUGGAAAAACAGGGAAUCUGGGGGUAAAUCUUCUUUGUGAAUGGAAUCAUCUUCUUUGCAUGGCAAGCUCUCUUUAAAGAUGACAGAGAAUUUACUUACCUCCAUCACACGGGAUCACCUCCUCCCAGCUCAACCAUCCACUUAGGGGAAACUGAAGGCAUUGUUCUUAAGACAGAAUCAUUUCUUUCCAUGGGUUCCUUUGCUUUUCCUCCCAAUCCCCAUACUCUCAAAGAGACAGGAGGCAUUAUCCUUAAGACAGAUACAAUUUCUCUCCAUGCACUCCUCUGCUUGUUCCUCUCAAUCCCCUUACUCUCAAGGAGACAAGCAGCAUUGUUCUUAAAUAUACACCAUUUAUCUCCAUGGGCUCCUUUGCUUUUCCCUCCCAAAAUUUUAAUGUGAAGUUGCUAAGAUGUCAGUAACAGAAUUAAAUUAAAUUAAAUUAAAAACAUUAAAUUGCAUGGACUAAAUUGUAUUAUUCAUCUGCCCUAAAUUAUUGGAUCCAUUAUCUGGUUAUGUAAGAUAUUCUUUAGUAAAAAUUAAAUAAAUAACUAUUGAUGUUAAACUUGCUUUGCAAGAUGAUUUGUGAAUAGCUCAGUAUAAUUUAUUUAGCAGAGAAGUUUACUUUAAACCUUGUGAAAGCUUCUGAACAGCUUUUUGUGUGCUAGGCUCUUAAGUGAACACUUAGGGCUGCAAUCACAUGAGAACACACCUGGAAGUAAGCCCUAACAAACACAGUGGGACUUCGUAUUGAAUUCAUACAUACCGAUAGUCUGGCAGUAAGUCACUAUGAGGGUUUUUUCCACAACAACCUUGGGCCAUAGAUGGAUUACAUUAAACAGAAGCAUAGUGAAUAAUCACCUGAACAACAAACAAAAUGAAUAAUAAAAAAACAAGCAUUGCUAAUCCUGUUCAAUUGAGGUGUCUCUUCCAUAGGUAAACAUGAGUGCUCGUAGAUACAGAUAAGAAUGAAAUUCACUUUCCUGUAAAAGAUGAAAUGACUUAUUUUCUUUUCGUAUCAUUGUUGUUUCUUGUGGGGUUCACAUGAGUAUUCCUUCAUGUAUGGAGAUAAGGAAAAUACAGUACUUAGAACUGAUGCUUGCCUUCAAGCCAUUUCCACCUUAUGCCAACUCUAAGGUGAACCUAUCAGAGGGUUUCUGAUACUGAGGCUGUGUGACUUGCACAAGAUCACCCAAUAAGUUUCCACAGCUGAGCAGGGAUUUGUUUCCUGGACUUCAAUCAUAGUCCAAGACUGACAUCAGCAAAGGCACCUGAGUGGCCAGGGAGACGCGGGACUCACAGCAACAAACUAGUUUCAGUUCAGCUGGGCUAUGAAGACUUUACUCCAUCACCAUUGUGGAGUGAACAUGGAAUGUGUAGCUGCCUCUGACACCAGUACAGAGUAUUGCUACUCAAACCUGACCCCAGAUUUUGGACUGGGCUUCACCACUGAAUCAUAAGUCUAACAUCUUGUUGAAGGACAUCUUCACCAAGAGCUCUUGCACAUUCUGAAACACGUUUUAAUGCUAAAGUGGAAUAUGUCUGGCAUUUUCUGUUUGAAUAGCUUGUAUUUGAACUAACACCUAAGCCAAAAUCCUGUAGUGGGAGAUAUAUCUCUAGUAUUUAUCUAUGAUACUUCUCCUGGUGAAACUUAAGAACUGAAACUUACCCAAUACUUUUUUGUUUACAUUUUGUAAAUCUCGGAAGCCUCCCAAAGUCGGUUUCAUUUUCAGCACAAGAAAGCAAAGCAAAGCCAAAAGGCUCCCUUUCCUUUUUAAAUUAAUGGCCUCUCACCAUUAGGAGAGGGAAGCAGCAGGAAGAAAGCAGAGUUCACUGGGAAAGAAAGCACAGAAUUCUGGGAAAUGUACUUUGGGAAGGAAGAAGCUCUAUGCCAGAGAAUUCAAAAGGCCUUGACCGAAAAUUGUUGAAUCUGCAAAAAGGAGGACUGACUGAUACUUCUAGAGUCUCUGAUGGGAUGAAGAAACCUUCAGUCAUCAUAACGAAAGAGGAGACCAAGACACCAAAUGAAUAUGAAAGAAAAUAUAUUUCUCAUAAACAGAAGAAUGGCUUCCGGUCUUUGAGUAGCGGUCUUCAUUGCCCUUCUCUGGACUCCAGUUGAAAUAAUGUGCCCAUGUCUGAAGAAGAGAAUUUAUCAGUUUCUUGAUGUACUGCAGAAAUCAGAAGAUUGACAGGUUUAGGCCUCUGCCAGAAUGUUAAGAUGGUAAGAUGAUCCCCUGAUUGCACAGAGAGCCUGCAAUGUAGUUUUCCACUCUGGUUGAUAUGAAGAGAUGUCAAAAUGUUCGCUGCAGGAAUAAGUGAUCUAAGAUGAA